rnacentral:rRNA from 2 species
UGAGGGAAAGCUGCAAAGUACUCUGAAGAGAGAGUUCAAUAGGACGUGAACCCGUCUGCAGGGAAACGGGUGAGACCGCACGUUGGACCUACCGUGGAUUCAGCNCGAGGGUCGCCUCUCGGGUGCACUUCCGCGAUGGUAGGCUGCGUGGGGAUCGGUUCGCCCCGCGCUUGAAGUCGCAAGGGGCGGUAGUGGGGAAGUUUCGGCCUCUCUGCGAUGUACCCCCGCGUUCGUUGGCCGCGGCGCGGACCGAGGAAUCGGAAUCGGAAUCUUUAUCUCGAUACCGGGUCGUCGCGAAGGUUCGACUGGAUGGGGGCUGUUCUUCGAUCGGCCUCCUCCGACCGCCGUCGCGUUCUUUCCCGGCGAAUGAUCUUCGAUCUACGAUCUCCACGCUCAGGUCGGCACCUCACCCGACCC